UCGAGUGAAGGAGGAAAAGCCCAAAUUUGUAAUCUGGCUCUUUCAGAGUCCGAGUUGUAAUUUUGAGAACUGUUUUCCGUGCUGGACCAUUUCUAAGUCUGUUGAAAAAUAGCAUCAUUGAGGGUGAUAAUCCCGUUCAUGAUAUGGACUACCAGUGCACUGUGAUACAGUUUCUAAGAGUCGAGUUGUUUGGGAAUGCAGCUCAAAGUGGGUGGUAAAUUCCAUCUAAGGCUAAAUAUAGGUGAGAGACCGAUAGCAUACAAGUACCGUGAGGGAAAGAUGAAAAGAACUUUGGAAAGAGAGUUAACAGUACGUGAAAUUGUUGUAAGGGAAACAUUUAAAGUUAGCCUUGUGCUUGUUAGUUCAGCUCUUCAACUAGGGUGUAUUCUAAUGAUGUCACGGACCAACAUCAGUUUUUGGGUGCUGGAUAAGGGUCUUGGAAAUGUAGCAGUUUAGGCUGUGUUAUAGUCCAGGAUUUUUGGAUACAGUGCUUAGGACUGAGGAGAUUUGCAGCAAGCCAGUCACAUGGCCGCCCUUUUCUAAGGGCUCCCCUG
rnacentral:rRNA from 2 species